rnacentral:tRNA from 1 species
GGCGGUUUUGUCAGUGUCACUCCCCUGCUAAGGGAGUAGGCGGGAAACCGUCUCGAGGGUUCGAAUCCCUUCGUCUCCGCCA